rnacentral:ncRNA from 1 species
CCUAAGCGGGAAGCCUGCUCCGAGAUUAGGAUUCCUCGCGGCCUCGGGCCGCGCGACCCCCCAUGUAGAACACGUGGUCGAUAGGCCGGACGUGGAAGCCCCGCAAGGGGUGGAGCUGACCGGUACUAACGGGGGAAAGGCAAUCAUACU